UGCGCAGGCGGACUUUUAAGUCAGUGGUGAAAUCCCGAGGCUCAACCUCGGAACUGCCAUUGAUACUGGAAGUCUUGAAUUUGGUUGAAGUGGGCGGAAUGUAGCAUGUAGCGGUGAGAUGCUUAGAUAUGCUACAGAACACCGAUCGCGAAGGCAGCUCACUAAGCCAAUAUUGACGCUCAGGCACGAAAGCGUGGGGAGCAAACAGGAUUAGAUACCCUGGUAGUCC
rnacentral:rRNA from 1 species